rnacentral:rRNA from 1 species
UACGUAGGCAGCGAGCGUUGUUCGGAGUUACUGGGCGUAAAGAGUGCGUAGGCGGUUUUCUAAGUUUGGGGUGAAAUCUCCCGGCUUAACUGGGAGGGUGCGCCGAAGACUGGAAGGCUUGAGUAUGGGAGAGGUAAGCGGAAUUCCUGGUGUAGCGGUGAAAUGCGCAGAUAUCAGGAGGAACACCGGUGGCGAAGGCGGGUCUCUGGGCCGAUACUGACGCUGAGGAGCGAAAGCGUGGGGAGCGAACAGG